rnacentral:rRNA from 1 species
GACGAACGCUGGCGGCGUGCUUAACACAUGCAAGUCGAACGAAAAGGCCCUGUUUUUGUGGGGUUCUUGGGGGGCGAACGGGUGAGUAACACGUAAGUUACCCGCCCCUUCCUUAUGGAUAACGUCAGGAAACGGGGGUAAAUACCGGAUCGGACCUUCUGCUGCAUGGGGGGGGAUGGAAAGUUUGGGUGGGUGGGGAUGGGCUGGCGACUUAUCAGCUUGUUGGUGGGGUGGUGGCUUACCAAGGGUUUGACGGGCAGCCGGCGUGAGAGGGUGGCCGGCCUCAGUGGGACAGAGAGACCAGACAGACUCCGGCGGGAGGCAGCAGUGGGGAAGAUUGCACGGUGGGCGGAAGCCGGAUGCAGGAAGGGCGCGUGAUGGCUGACGGCCGGUUGGUUGUAACCCGCUGUCGCCUGGAAGGAAGCGUGAGUGACGGUAAUGGGUGAAGAAGCGCCGGCUAACUACGUG